rnacentral:lncRNA from 1 species
UUUUGCGCUUACAAUGAAAACUAUAUCUGUAGGCACCUGGAAAGGAGCAGGACAUUAUAUUUAUUUGUAUCUGUUUUGCUUUUUCUUCUUUCCUUAGGGAGAUUGCAGGCAGAAAUUGGGAAACACCUUGACAAUAUCAGUGAACUCCAUGAAGAAAUUAGGGCACAUCUUGAAAAUAUUAGUAAGUUCAAUUUUUUUCCCCAUCUAACCUCUCAGUUGAAGUUGUACACAGUUAAAUUGUUGUUGUUGUUUAAUUAAAGGAAUAAUGUCAAUUUGAAAAUCAAAUGCACAAACUUUGGCCACUAUUCAGAAGGCACAGCAGCUCAGUCAUUUGCACGAUUGGGGUCUUUGUAAUAAAUCAUUGUCUAUAAAAUGGUAUGUCA